AUUGAACGCUGGCGGCAGGCCUAACACAUGCAAGUCGAGCGCGCGGCGGACGGGUGAGUAAUGUCUGGGAAACUCCCCGAUGGAGGGGGAUAACUACUGGAAACGGUGGAUAAUACCGCAUACCAUCAGAUGUGCCCCGAUGGGAGUAGCUAGGUGGUGGGGUAACGUCUCACCUAGGCGACGAUCCCUAGCUGGUGUGAGAGGAUGACCAGCCACACUGGAACUGAGACACGGUCCAGACUCCUACGGGAGGCAGCAGUGGGGAAUAUUGCACAAUGGGCGCAAGCCUGAUGCAGCCAUGCCGCGUGUGUGAAGAAGGCCUUCGGGUUGUAAAGCACUUUCAGCGGGGAGGCGUUACCCGCAGAAGAAGCACCGGCUAACUCCGUGCCAGCAGCCGCGGUAAUUC
rnacentral:rRNA from 1 species